rnacentral:rRNA from 1 species
UACGAAGGUGGCAAGCGUUGUUCGGAUUUACUGGGCGUAAAGGGAGCGUAGGUGGUGGGGUAAGCCCCGCGGGAAAGCUCCAGGCUUAAUCUGGAAAGGUCGCGGGGGACUGCUCCGCUCGAGGACGGGAGAGGAGCGCGGAAUUCCCGGUGUAGCGGUGAAAUGCGUAGAUAUCUGGAGGAACACCGGUGGCGAAGGCGGCAUCCUGGACCGGUAUUGACGCUGAGGCGCGAAAGCCAGGGGAGCAAACGGG